rnacentral:rRNA from 1 species
CCUACGGGGGGCAGCAGUGAGGAAUAUUGGUCAAUGGACGAGAGUCUGAACCAGCCAAGCAGCGUGAAGGAUGACUGCUCUAUGGGUUGUAAACUUCUUUUAUAUGGGAGUAAAACAGGGUAUGCAUACCCUCUUGUAUGUAUCAUAUGAAUAAGGAUCGGCUAACUCCGUGCCAGCAGCCGCGGUAAUACGGAGGAUCCGAGCGUUAUCCGGAUUUAUUGGGUUUAAAGGGAGCGUAGGUGGAUGGAUAAGUCAGUUGUGAAAGUUUGCGGCUCAACCGUAAAAUUGCAGUUGAAACUGGUAGUCUAGAGAACAGUAGAGGUAGGCGGAAUGCGUGGUGUAGCGGUGAAAUGCUUAGAGAUCACGAAGAACUCCGAUUGCGAAGGCAGCUCACUGGACUGCAACUGACAUUGAUGCUCGAAAGUGUGGGUAUCAAACAGGAUUAGAUACCCGGGUAGUC